GCAGCUCCCCCGCCCCGUUGCGGGGUUUGCGGAGCCGGGAAAGCGCCGAGGAGCAGCGCAGCCCCGGGCGCUGCGGGGGGAAGCUGCAGCCAGGCCGGGACGUGCGGACACCGCAGGGCGCGGGGGAGGCAGCGGGGACCGGUGCCUGUAGCUGGGCUCCGCGGACCCCAGAGCAGCCGCUCGCAGCCGGCAAAGGGACAUUCUUCACACCGGGACGUGAAGAAGAGCAGUGCGAAGAGCAACGCGCACGACUGAAGCCGGAGGGACGUGUGGGCGCCGGGAGCGCGGCAGUGCCGGGAUCUCGCCCGUACCCGCCCCUGGCCCCAAACCCGGUGCGGGAGAGCCGGGCCCGAGACGGCGGCACGAGGCCGGGGAGCGGGGCGGCGGCAGCGGGGAUUGCUGCAGCUGCGGCACCGGGCGGGAUCCGCUUCCCCGCGCCCGCUCCACGCAAGGGUCUCUCCUUGAGGCUCCUCUUUAAAAUGCAGCUGCCUCUGGGCACGGGGCGGGCGGGGCAAGGAAAUAGAGGCACAGCAACAAGGACACGCACCCGUGGGCGCUGCCGCACCCAGGAGCUCUGUGGAUGGACGACAGCUCCCCCCGAAAUCCCCCCGCCCCGUGUUAUCCAUUGAAGGGGCUGGUGGAGACUCCCGCCGGCUCCUCCCGCCCGGCCGAGCCGCCUGCCCUGCUGCCGCCGCGGAGGCCGGUGUCUGGGGCUGCUGGCGGGACCCGAGGCGGAGCCGCAGAGCCGGAGCUACGAGGGAAGGAGCCGGGGGCAGGAGCCCGGCCAGGGCGCCCCAGGAGGACUCAGACACCUCCAGAGUGUUAUCCAGGAUGUGCCAGGUUCAAUUUGGUGACAUCCACACACACCCUGCCAUGUGGUACCCAUCCAUUGUCUGCACUGAUGUCCUGAGGCUGGUGAAUUUUUAACUAACUUUAUUUUUUAAUUGGAGAAAUGAGAGGGUGUCCGGCACUGGUUUCCCUUCAGUUGUUACAACCCUCCCUGGGAGCUGCCUGGGGACUCCUUGGGGACGGGGGGAUAGUAGCGCGUGGACAGACUCUGUUCCCCUCGGACAGAGCCCACGUGGCAUGCUCUGGAGGGCAGGCCCUGCUCACGGGAUCUGCCAUGAGCAGCCACUUCCUCCACCCGAUGCUCCCGGCGCGUUGCACAAGUCUCAGUAAUGCGCAUUGCAUUAGUGCCGGGGGCUUCAGGGGCUAAUGCUGGGUUCAGAGGGGACGUGGUGGCACCGCCCGAGUCCAGGGAGCACGGCCAGGACCUCCUUUUGUAUCUGAGCACCUCCUUCCCCUGUCUCUGUCCAGGCCUGGCUACCAAAUGCCGUGCUGCGCUGGUCCUGAAUUAAUGCUGCUCUUUCUGAGGCAUCUCACUGUAGCCAUAGCUGUAGCUGUAGCUGUAGCUGUAGCUGUACUGCUGGGCUGUGAUACUUCAGGACUCGUGUCUCACUUCUGAGUUUCUACAUUUCAGUGCCCAGAGACCAGACCUGUGUCUUGUCCGGCCCAGCUGCCUAAGACUGGCUGGCACUUUACACUGUUGACUGCGGUGGAUUCAAGGCCGUGUUAUUUUCUGUCAGUGCAUGUCCCUGACAGUCUGCACUUCCCACUGGUUGCAGUGUUGCCUUGUGGCACCUCCCUAGGACCGGCUCCAUUUUUCUAUGUGCUCUUCCUGCUGGGCAGGAGCUGGCUCCACAAUCCAGCUGGAAACUGGCUGCUUGCUGCUCCAGCUGUGUUCAGCGCACACUAUUCGGUGCUGCGUCCAGGCAAGGGUGCGCUGUACUGGGAGCUGCUGGUCCAGCGUGAGCACAUGGGCUUUCCUGAUGUCACGCUCACAGCGCACCCUCAAGCAGCCCUCUCGGUUAUGGUGCUGGGAAGAGACUCCAGCUUCUCCCCUCCAAGGAGAACUGACCCAAGGAGUUUUCCUUCCCGCAGGAACAAAUUCAGACUUGGCUGCAGCUGCUAAGGGGAGAGAGGGAGAGGCUUGAAACACUGUGAGGGAGUGAAAGCCAGAAACACCAGGAAUACCAGAUGCAGCAUGAGCAGGUCCGAGGAGGUGAUCCUCCCCACCAUGUGACACAAGUCAGGCCGCAGUUGGAGUACUGCAUCCAGUUCCGGGCACCACACUUUAUGAGAGAUGUGGCCAGCAUCAAGAAGGUCCAGAGGAGGGCCACUCGCAUCAUCCGGGGACAGCAGGGCAGACCCUACGAGGAGAGGUUAUGGGACCUGAACCUGUUCAGCCUUCACAAGAGAAGGCUGAGAGGUGACCUAGUGGCUGUCUACAAACUUACCAAGGGAGAACAGCAGGGAAUGGGAGAGACCCUGUUCACCCAUGCACCUCCUGGAGUAACAAGGAAUAACGGCCAUAAGUUGUUUGAGAGUAGAUUCAGGCUGUACAUUAGAAGACACUGUUUCACUGUCAGGGUGGCCAGGAGUUUGAUCCAACUUCCAAGGGAAGUGGUGCUGGCUCCUACCCUGGGGGUCUUUAACAGGAGGCUUGACAAUUACCUAGCUGGGGUCAUAUAAGUCCAGUAUUCUCUCCUGCCAAGGGUGGGGGGUUCGACUUGAUGAUCUACUUAGGUCUCUUCCAGCCCUACAUCUAUGAAUCUAUGAAUAAGGUUCUUAAUUGACUACAGAAUAUUUGGAAACACAGAGCACUUCUAUGUGAGGCUAGUGUAACCCAGAAGAUUUCCAGCAUAAAACUCUCCUGUUGCUCUAAUUGCUUAAAAACUGGUUUGCAGAAAAUCAAAACAGCAAAUGCUUUCACCUCUAGUCCUGAUUGACCUUCAAUCUCAGUUUGUGUGGUCAACAUCUAGAGUUGGAAAAGCCCAACAUGAAGGUUAGUGGAGUUUCUGCACCACCAUCGGUGCCAUGCUGCUGCCCCAAGGGAGGGAGGAGGCUUGUGGGUGAAUAAGAGCUUGGCCUGUUACACAAAUUGCCAAUCGCUUAAAUUACAAGCGAGACUUUAUUAAGGGGGAUAAGGCAAGGUAUCAUGUUUAUUGAUUACAUGAGUUAGACAUAGAGGUUUGGGCACACCAUUCAUACAAACACACACAAAUCAUUAUACAUAUUAUUACACAGGCAUAUACAUACUCAAAACAACCAUUUUAUCCACACAUGCACCAGAUAUAGUUACUAGCAAUAGUUGUUCAGUAUUAGCCCAGGAUGGCUAACCCAGGCUUAUUGAGUAGAUGAUGAUGAUUUGAAGAUAGCAGAUUUGAAGAUAACAGCUGGAGCGAGGUGAACAGAUGUAUCUGUGCUCCCAUGAAACAUCAGGAGAGAAAGAGACUCACACAACUUGGCAUUUUUUAAGUGUUAUUUUAUAGGGAUGGGCAUUCUUUGUUUUAGUGCUUUGGGUUUUUUUUAUACCCAGCUUCUGUUUUUGUGGUUGGGUUUUUUUUUGUCUUCAGUUUAUCUUAGCCUUGGAGUGUUCUCGUUGCCCCUCUGGCAGGAUGGGUGCAUUCCUUUUCCUUGUUAUCUUCAUUGUGCCCUAGGCCUAAAAGGGAUUCUUCAGCUAUUUAGUUAUUAAUUAGUUUCUGAGUGGUAACUUACAUUUGGUGCCUUGUUGCUUACAUAAACAGUUAGAUCUGAA